ACCGCGUAACAUUUUUCCCAUUCCCAUUGCAUUUCAUCAUCGUCGUGUGAAUCGGACUCGGUGCAUUCUCUCUGACUCAACAAACCCUCGUUGCGUUCGGUCAAAGUCAAUGGAUCGGUUCUUGUAUCGCGGAUCGAACCUUGAUCUGGUUUUUAGGAAUGUUUAAUUGCAGGUUCUGUCUACGUUCUCGAAUCAGGCAAAGAAUCGUUUAAAUCGAUGUAGAAUUUCAUCAAGUUUCGGUGGCGCCGGUGAUGAUCGUGGCUUUUCUGCGGUGGAUGUUGUCGAUCUCGUGUCGAAACGGAGUAAUUAACGCGAGAUACGUUGUUUAAUGAUGGUUGUAUUGGUAAAUUCCUGUAAGAGAUUAUGUUAUGCGGUUAUUGGAGGUUCUUGAUUGUUCUGUUGUUGAUGGACCUUUGCCAUGUCAGGUGCGCUUGCAUGGCAGGUCAGAAAAGCGUUAAUAAAAUUACUCUGUUUUUUGUUUGGGGGGAGGGAUGGCUUCGGGGGAGUUUUGUUUUCAUUUUUUUUCACCCCGAUUCUCUUCUGUCCCCCUCCCGUGUCGUGUUUUCGGUUUCCCCUUUCCCUUUUUCUUUUCUUUGCACUGUGAAUUCAUUUAUAUUCUUAACUGCUCACUAUAUCGGAAACCGCCUCAACGAAACAACACACGAUUGGCAACUCGGUAAGGUACAUGGUGCUCAACGCACACUUUAAUUUAUUUUAAUUGCGUUACAUAUGAAUUACCGUAUACAAUUUUACAAUCCAUAAUGAUUAACAUUAUGCUUCGCAUGUAAUUAAUUUAUUGUUUUGGUAAUUAAAAUAAAUGGCAAUCGGUAUAAUUGCUCCAUGUUAUACAUGCAUGUGUUUUAUAUUUAUGCAGUCAUUCAUUUAUUUAUUUUAGUGAUUUGAAAUGAUUUUGGAGUCUCUUUCAAUCAAAUGAUUCUAUCAAUAUUAUAAUUACAAAUGUGUACUUGGUUGAUUUAUUGUUUUGGUAAUUAAAAUAAAAGGCAAUCGGUAUAAUUACUGCAUGUUACAUGUUUGUUAAUGCUAUGAUUUUAUGGUUUCGUUAAUAAAUCAAUUAUUUACAUAUAUACAGACAUAUGGAUUGUAUUUUUGUAAUUAGUAAUGAAUUGGAUGUCUCUUUCAAUUAAAUGACUCGUUCAAUAAUAUAUAAUCAGUAUACUAUCUCCUUCAAAAUAUAGCAGUUCAGCUUGCGCCUGGCUGGUUAUGUUCACUAUAAUUUUGAUUAAUUAAAAAUUAAGUAUUUUGCAUUAACAAUAGCACUAAUUUUUAAUAUCAGUUUCAAAUUUGUAAAUUCUUCCACAAUUGAAUCAAAGUGGCUAUGUGUCAUCUAAAAAUUUCUGUCCAUAGAUGGGUAAUUUUAUAAUAAAAAAGGUGCAAAUGGUUAUUUGUUAUUGAGUUCUCAUGCGGAUUAUUUCAGCCAGAUGAAGUAUCUAAUCUCAUGUUCCAACUUUUUCAUUCGGUGUAUAUGUAUAUUUAGGUUUAUUUUUUUUUUUAUAUAUAUAUAUAUAUGUAUAUGUAUAUUUAUAUUUAUAUUUAUUUAUUUAUUGUGAUCCAUGUUACAACUACAAGCAGUAGCAUUGGCUAUU